UUUGCUUUUGCAUUGUUGUAGACGCUUUUGCUUAAAAAAUAAAUAGAAAACCAUUCUUUAAGCCAUUUAAUACUAGCGGGUCUUUGGAAAAUUAACCUUUACGGUUGAAUAAUUCCCUCAAUGGUGCAAAUCCAAUUCCAAUCAAAAAUUUCAUAAAAAAUUAAAACAGCGAAUCUAUCAAACUACAAUUAGAAAAGUUGCUUAAACUGACCAAUACAUUUUAGACAGGCGCUUAAACAGGUUCAAUGGUUCCUUGUAACAUAGGAAACUUUCAAGUGUUUAUAUUAAUAUUAUGUGACUAAUUCUCAAUAAUGUUGAAAAUGUCAUUCAUCAUUUUCACAUGUCAGCAGUUUAGUUAUCAAUGGCAAGUAAAUUAGACACAAAUCUAGCUAUAUCAUUAAUUAUACUGAUCUUUUUAUGCAUAGGAGUGUUGCUUUCAAUGAUACUUUAUUACAUCUCACCAUGUAGAAGCGAAUCUGAGGAGGAUUUUGUCAUAAAACAGUAUGAUAAAGAUCAAGUCCUAGCAAGAAUAAAUGGCGUAAUAUCUGAAGGUAGAUGGAGAUAGACCGAUGGCUAUACAAAUUUUCCAAAGUUGUUGCUGUAUUUAGGUUGUUCUAGAUAAUAAACGAUCACUUUCUUCA